CUACAUUGCUGUAAGUAGUAGACAAAAAUAUUUAUGAUGUGUAGGAGAAUUUUGAGACUCCCCAUGAGUGUGAUGACGUCACAUGUUAAAGUUAAGGUAUUCCCAUCAAUGUUGAUCAGACUGUUUCCUCCAAACUCUCGAUGCUGCAUGAUAAAAAUAUAUCACAUGUAUAACUAUGCACUCAUAUAAUCAAUACGUAAUCCAAUAAACCUAUAUCAGUAGUUGCAGCUAAGCUUAUGGAAACGCAAGAAACCACAGUGUACACUGUAGAACAAAAAGGCAAACGCAGAAGGCUUAAAAAAACCAUACUUACUCAGCAGAAAAUUAGUGCCAAAUAGACAUGCUAGAAAACUAAUACUUUACACUUGACCCCUGUGUAACCUGAAUAAAGUAAAAAAAAAAAGUACAGGAGGCUAUAACUCUGUGAACUUGUAUGUGUAAUGGAAAAAUACAGAAAGCAAUGUCGUGGUGUAUGCAUAGUGGGGAAAGAACAUCAUAGAGCCGAAAAUAAUUUUUUUGGGGCACCUGUCCACUAUGAUAAGAUUAAGUUCUGUCAGGACCACUGUCAUCAAAGUAGAACUUUAUUGACAAUAAAGGCAAUACAGUUAUGUUUGGCGGUAUGGCUCUGUUCUGGAGCUCUCCCGCCAACCACGCAGCCCGCGUGGAUAAGGCCGGGAGGCCAGCAGCCAAACCCCCCUAGAGGGGUACACACAGAACAGAUCCAGCAGCAAAGCAAGUUCUUAACACAUAGGGGUGGAGCAAUGCAAUUUCUUAACACAUAGGAAUGGAUAAAUGCAAAUUCUUGACGCAUGGGGAUGGAGCUGGGGUGGUGGAGGGGAUUUACGAAGCAACGUGCAGCGCUUGCAUGCAGGAGGAGCAGCCGAAUGAGUAGAGGGAGGCUGUUAAAUAGACCGCCCUGUUAGUGAAUGUACUGUGAUAGGCGAACAUCACUCAGCUGAGCCAUCAGCUGAUUCAGCCGGAGCGCUUGACUCUCGUGGCCUGCCAGAACUACGCGAUGCUCCAUUAUUGAUACAUUAAGAACAUCAUAAGGACCGAAAAUCAUUUUGGUGCCAAGAAAGUCAAGUUGACCCAUGAACAGGAAACUGAAACUCCUUACUGUGCCAAAAAGACCAGAUGGCUGGGAUUUUCAGGAAUGUGUUAAAGGGGGGUUGUGGGCACAAUUUGUGUAUAAAAUGUGUGCAAAACUGACAAUCGGGGUUCAAUUCUGCUGAAUUGAUCCGGCUAUGUGCACCUGUGCAAUAAAGUCUAAACUUUCUGAA